UAAUUCUAGAGCUAAUACAUGCUGAAAAUCCCGACUUCGGAAGGGAUGUAUUUAUUAGAUACAAAACCAAUGCCCUUCGGGGCUCUCUUGGUGAUUCAUGAUAACUUCUCGAAUCGCACGGCCCCGCGCCGGGCGAUGGUUCAUUCAAAUUUCUUCCCUAUCAACUUUCGAUGCUACGGUAGUGUCCUAGCAUGGUUGCAACGGGUGACGGAGGGUUAGGGCUCGACCCCGGAGAAGGAGCCUGAGAAACGGCUACUACAUCCAAGGAAGGCAGCAGGCGCGCAAAUUACCCAAUCCCGACACGGGGAGGUAGUGACGAUAAAUACCGAUACAGGGCUCUUUUGGGUCCUGUAAUUGGAAUGAGUACAAUUCAAAUCCCUUAACGAGGAACAAUUGGAGGGCAAGUCUGGUGCCAGCAGCCGCGGUAAUUCCAGCUCCAAUAGCGUAUAUUAAAGUUGUUGUGGUUAAAAAGCUCGUAGUAGAAGCUCGGGCUCCGGCCGACCGGUCCGCCUCACCGCGUGCACUGGUUCGGCCGGGCCUUCACCUUCUGCGGAACCGCAUCUCCUUCACUGGGGGUGUCGGGGAAACAGGACGUUUACUUUGAAAAAAUUAGAGUGCUCCAGGCAGGCCUAUGCUCGAAUAGAUUAGCAUGGAAUAAUGGAAUAGGACGUGUGGUUCUAUUUCGUUGGUUUCUAGGACCGCCGUAAUGAUUAAUAGGGACAGUCGGGGGCAUCAGUAUUCAAUCGUCAGAGGUGAAAUUCUUGGAUCGAUUGAAGACUAACUACUGCGAAAGCAUUUGCCAAGGAUGUUUUCAUUUAUCAGGAACGAAAGUUAGGGGAUCGAAGACGAUCAGAUACCGUCGUAGUCUUAACCAUAAACUAUGCCGACUAGGGAUCGGACGGUGUUCUUUCUUGACCCGUUCGGCACCUUACGAGAAAUCAAAGUGCUUGGG
rnacentral:rRNA from 1 species